CCGACUAGAAAAAGAAGUCUCUUCAGUCUUGAGACGAGAGGCUUUCUGUCGAUUAUCCCUUGCAUAGGGCGACGCCAAUUGCAGUCGUGAAACGAAAAGAAACGGUUAGUCUGUUGCUCCGCAAGUAGAUCGAAGGAGCGCAGAGCCGAGUGAACGCUCCCCCCCUCUCGAUCUUCGCGCGGUGGUUGCGCCUAUCCGGAGCCUGCGCAGUGGCGUCUUCCCAACCGUAGCCUUGGCCGCCUAGACCCCCUCCGCGUCGUCCCACGCCUCUCCCCUCCCCCACUGUCGCGAAGCUCCCGCCCGAGCGGACCACGUGCCGCAAACCGGGCGGGGAGAGACCACUACUGCACCCCUUCCGGCCUCUUCGAACGCGCGAGCGUGCAGCCCCCGGUCCCUGGGCCGGGUCGCUUCAGUCUAUUCAGAGUGUUUGUAUAGAGGACAGCUUUGGAAGAUAGAGAAAAUGGCUUCUUCUGGAGCAAAGAAAUACCAUUGAAGUGAUGUUGUGUCUUUGUCAAGUACAUUAUGUCUGGAGGCACAUAAUAUCUAUUUUCCUCAUUAGAGGUCAUGUUAACUGGUUUGUUAACUUGGUUAAGGUAAUGUCCACUGGGUUCCUUCACUAUAUAGUUUUUAUUUUUCCCCUUGUAAGUAAGUUAUUUGUGAAGAGAUAGUUUGAGAUUCUCCUUGUGGCUGCUCGGUGUUUCUUAUAGCAUAGUGGCUGAGUUCUAUGUAGGAACAUAUCAAGAGAACAAAGUAAAAAAAAAAAAAAAUAUGAUCUUGCCUCCGAAGUCCCUUCUCUUCACUUCUACAGCAGCUUGCAUGGGACAACCACAAAAGUGCACCCCUAUUCAAGGCCAGGGGAUAUAGAGCCCACUACACAAUGGGUAGAAUGUCAAGGUCACCUUUAAGACAAAAAAUGGAUUGCAAGUCUUGGCAGCAAUUUUUGGAAGAUGCUGUGUGGCGCACGAGACAGCACCAUGCCUACUGACUCGUAGCCCUUUCUCCAAGCAGUACCAGCCCUCCCACUGUGUGGUCAGUCCAUUUAGGCCUCUGAGAACCCUGGCCUUAACCUCCAGUGGAUUUGUUGGGGAUCCAGUCAUCUUGUGGGCCCUUCGCUGCCACCCAGUGCGGUCAUCCAGAUGGAGGAGGUGGCACACUCCUCUGAGCCAUGUUGGCAAAGAAGAGAACACAGACAGAGAAUGGUUGGUAUUUCAUCUCCUUGCCUUUCAGUUCCCAUUAUACGCACUUUUAUGCUCUGGUGCUGGGGUCUGUGUGUAUCUAACAAUUGACUUCUUGUACCUUCCUCCCCAAGCCCUUCUAAGUUCCAUGCUGUGAAAUUCCUAAAGCAGUAGAAGCUUUUGGAGGAAAUUGGAAAAGUCUCCUCCUAUUCAAGGCAUAGAACAUAGAUUAAAACUUAUCAAAUUGUAUACUUUGGGAGUGCCUGGGUGGCUCAGUUGGUCAAAGCCUCUGCUUCGGCUCACGUCAUGAUCCCAGAGUCCUGGGAUCUAGCCCCAAUCAAGCUCUCUGCUCAGCGGGGAGCCUGCUUCCCUUCCUCUCUCUCUGCCUGCCUCUCUGCCUACUUGUCAAAUAAAUAAACAAAAUCUUUAAAAAGAAAAAACAAAAAAACAAAUUGUAUACUUUGAAUAUAUACAGUUUUGUGUUCAUUGAUUAAUAUCUCUAAGUGGAAAAUAAAGAGUACUAUGUACUCUAAUGUAUAUACCCAUUACACUUGUUUGUAAUAUGAAUAGGUUUUAAUUCACUGGUUAGAGGAUAAA